rnacentral:rRNA from 1 species
GCUUGCCUCGGUGGAUUAGUGGCGAACGGGUGAGUAUCACGUGAGUAACCUGCCCUUGACUCUGGGAUAAGCCCGGGAAACUGGGUCUAAUACCGGAUACGACCAGUCACCGCAUGGUGUGCUGGUGGAAAGCUUUAGCGGUUUUGGAUGGACUCGCGGCCUAUCAGCUAGACGGUGAGGUAAUGGCUCACCGUGGCGAUGACGGGUAGCCGGCCUGAGAGGGUGACCGGCCACACUGGGACUGAGACACGGCCCAGACUCCUACGGGAGGCAGCAGUGGGGAAUAUUGCACAAUGGGCGAAAGCCUGAUGCAGCGACGCCGCGUGUGGGAUGACGGCCUUCGGGUUGUAAACCACUUUCAGCAGGGAAGAAGCUUUUUGUGACGGUACCUGCAGAAGAAGCGCCGGCUAACUACGUGCCAGCAGCCGCGGUAAUACGUAGGGCGCGAGCGUUAUCCGGAAUUAUUGGGCGUAAAGAGCUCGUAGGCGGUUUGUCGCGUCUGCUGUGAAAGCCCGGGGCUUAACCCCGGGUGUGCAGUGGGUACGGGCAGGCUAGAGUGCAGUAGGGGAGACUGGAAUUCCUGGUGUAGCGGUGAAAUGCGCAGAUAUCAGGAGGAACACCGAUGGCGAAGGC